GAAAAUCACAUGCCCUGCAGUCUGCACGACUCUGCACCUAAGAAAUAUCACACAUAACUUAUCCACACCGAAAAAUCCAUCUGUACAGGGUAAACUCUUUCUCCAUCUCUACAGCAAAAUUGGGUGCUUACAAGUCAUUUUGGAGUUAUGGAGGAAGAAACAAGCUGAUGUGAUGAGGUUUUGCAGAGGGUGAGGUGCUGGGAGUAUCGCCAACAUCCUUCAAUUUGUAUGUGUUAUCUUACCCGUCCUGGUAAGGACAGACGUUUGGGUUACAAGGUCAAGAAGUUAAUGGAAAGUCCUAAAUCUUAGCUUUAUUUUGCUGUUAUUAGUGCAUUUGAUAUGUUAAAGUUCAUUGAAUCCUGUUUUUCAUCUUAGUCUCAAGUUAAAUUUCGAUUUACUUUGGAAUCAGUUUCUUUGUUGAAUACAUUGUUCUGAUUUUAUGGUUUUCAUGAAGUCUUAAAUGGAUAAACUGACCCAUGCUAUGUUUUUCUACAAUGUUUGAAUGGUGUUAGAUAUCUGUUCGUAUAAUAACGGCCAUAGACUUCAAAAAUGUUAAACUCUAAUAAGUUAUUACUCAAAAGGUAUGUGUCAAACUAAGGUGACUAGACAAGUUUGAGUUGCGUCGUCGGGUUAUGUUUGAUUUUGCAAUGCAGAUUGUGUGGCUUACUUUGCUCAAUGCAUGGAAGUCCAGCUUUAUGUACUAUUUUUUCUGACAAAUGAUAUUGUUCUAUUUAUCUGAUUUCUGUAACCAUAUACAGGUUCUUGAUGAUGCCUUCUUUAAAUAUGAGACCAAGCCUAAGCUUACUAGUCAUGGCGAGCUCUAUCAGAAAGGUGAAGUGUUUGAGGUGAAGAAGUGAGAAUCAGAUGCUGCUCGAGACAAGCUCUUCAUUCAGAUGAUCUUUCAACAAAUGCGAUUGGAUGUAGCAAUCAUGGAAAUAAAAGUAGAUGAAUGAACUUAAUUAUACUCAAGAGAAAACACGCUUGGGCUAGUAUAGUGUUGUAAAUGGUAUUGAUUGAACAUGGAAUGACCUGAAUGAACCAACAGUAUUCGAGGUACAGCUCAUAAAUUGUCAUCAGUAUGUAACUUGUCAUUUAUUCUAUUGGUUUUGAAUUCUGGUUGUUUUUCUUAUAAUCUGCAAACCAUUACAAAGACAAGGUGCCGAAGCUGGUGGGCAUCAUAAUCAUUUGCAUUACCACAAUGUAGUUGGCUUAUUUUUCUCUAGUUAUGUAUAUGAUUAUUUUGUAUCUUCUUUAUGAUCACCAUGAAGUAAUUCUCCUUAGUGUGAAGAAUUGAAGAUUGUUGCUUGGCUCUGUUGAGGGUCCACCAUUUUAUGCAUCACAUUUGUACUAUUGGUAAGACUUUUGUUUUGUUUCAAAAUUGGUUUUGGUAAGACUUUUGUUUAACUUGAUCAACAUGAAUAGAUACAGUUGAGGUGAUUAAACCAAGUAGCCUGUUUAAAUCAUGACAUAUUCAAUAUGAUGAAAUGCUUCCCCCAGAAUGUCAGGUCCUGGUCAAUUUGGGUUUUGAUUCCUGUGUCUGUUUCUGGAUUCCUGUCCUGAUUGAGGUGUGUAAGUUAAAAUGUGUACUCACUUCAGUUUCUUGCUUUCAUUAUGUUCCAUAUCCAUCAUUACAUUUAUGGAGGACUCUGUCUGCUGAACAUCCAUACACCAAUCCAUACUUAAGGCUUACUGGUGAACAAGGGAAUUGGCUCAGCUAAGAUGCAAGUUUGCAGUUUUGUUUCAUUUUAACGCAAGGGAAUUGGCCUGUACUGCGGCUAACCUAUUUUUAUCCUGUUAAUAGAUGUUUCCUUUACAGUAUUUAUGCUAACUUUAUGCUUAUGAAGUCGGGAAAGAAGAGUGGUUAUCACACCUUUCAGAAUUUCCCAGUAUUUUUAUCUCUAAAUACGUAUAUAUUUUGUUUUUGCACAGUGGUUCGAUGUUGGAAGCCUGGGAAGGUUAUGUUGAGAUGGAAGUUCAAACAAGUCACAUAGAUUCAGCUAGAUCCAUUUAUAAAAGAUGCCAUAGCAAAAGGUUCAUGGGAACCGGUUCAGAAUAGUGAUACAAGCAUUAUAUGCGAAGUAAGAGCUCCAAAGCAAACCCCAUACAGGAAUUGCGUACAAUUUGAGCUACUAGGAUAAUCAGGCGUCUCUGUGCCAGUAAGCAUUGUGGUAGUUGACUCCAGUUUGCAUAAAUCUAUACCGCUGGUGUGCUGUUAUGGAAUUGUUAGCUCGGUUCAUCAUCCGGCGGGAUCAGAUCUCUUUUGCUGGUUUGAAGUUGUCUUUAUGAAACCUAGGACUUAUAUGUAUGACUUGUAUGAAUUCAGGACUUGAUUAUUUAUUUUCUUUUGUGAUUUUUGAACCUAAGUUGUAAACUGUAUUCAGUCAUGAAUUGAAUGUUUUUUUAUUAAAAAGGCCAGUUGAGUUUACAAAUUCAA